rfam:Gossypium raimondii Chr05_contig_468, whole genome shotgun sequence.
AACUCAUGAUGAUGCCAUCUUCUCAACAAAUCCUUAAAUCUCUCUCAUGCAUCAUAUAAUGUCUCAAAAUCAAUUUGAGCAAAAGAAGAGAUGUCGUUCCUCAACUU